rnacentral:tRNA from 1 species
GGCGAUGUAGCUCAGCUGGUAGAGCAUUCUGAAUACGUACAUGUCUGCAGCAUGCACACAUUCGCGUAGAAAGGUCGCGGGUUCGAACCCCGUCAUCGUCA